rnacentral:sRNA from 1 species
AUGUGCGGUCCGGUCAGUUGUACUUUUACUCUAUUCUAUUUCUACUUCUACUACUAGUUUAGUUUAGUUUAGAGUUGUCUCUUUCUUGUAAAUGGUUAUUAUCCCAGAUGAUUUCAGUUUCAGAUGAGCUAUCAUCAUUAUCAUAUCAUUAUUCAUUUCUCUUUUUUACAUUAAUUUUUACACGCUCUCUCCCUCAGUCAUUCUAUUUCUGUUGUAUUGUACUGUAUUCAGAACCGGUUUGAUUGUUUGGAAUUUGUAAUUGUUUUAGUAUGAAUAGGAUUUUUUAGCUCAUAGUCAUAGGCCAUUAUAGCUAUAGUGACAAUGGAGUUUGAACCUCUGACCCAGCUGGGUAACGAGGUCAUUGAAUUUGACAUGAUUGGUCUCGCUGAUGAUGCCAUGGACAUUGACCACCCUCUCAAUGUUGUUGAUGUCCAUGAUGAUGAAGAUCACCUUCUUCACAAUUCAACUUCAACUACUACCACCAUCCCUCCACCUGACACUAAUCUCGAACCUUUUGAGGGAAUGGAAUUUGAAUCAGAAGAAGCUGCCAAGGCCUUCUACAAUUCCUAUGCCCGCCGUGUUGGCUUCAGCACCCGUGUCAGCAUGUCUCGCCGCUCCAGACGUGAUGGCGCCAUCAUUCAGAGGUCUUUUGUCUGUGCCAAAGAGGGCUUCCGUGUUGACAAGGACAAGGACAAACCUGGCCAUGUUGAUGGCAGGGUCAAGCGCCCCCGUGCUGAAACCCGUGUUGGUUGUAAGGCCAUGUUGGUUGUCAAAAUUCAGGAUUCUCAUUCUGCCAGAUGGGUUGUUUCCAAUUUUGUCAGAGACCAUAACCAUGAGCUGGUCCCCCCAGAUAAGGUCCACUGUCUCCGCUCUCAUCGUCAUGUCUCUGGUUCCGCUAAGUCCUUGAUAGAUACCUUGCAGGGUGCUGGGAUUGGCCCCAGUGGAAUUAUGUCUGCACUCAUUAAAGAAUAUGGUGGAAUUAGCAAUGUUGGUUUCACAGAGCGUGACUGUAGGAAUUACAUGAGGAGUAGUCGCCAAAGGACCCUCGGAGGUGACACCCAGCUCCUCUUGGACUACUUGAGAAACAGGCAAGCUGUAGCUGAGAACCGCUCUCUUUUCUAUGCUGUGCAGGGAGAUGAUGAGGAUCAGUGCAUGAGCAAUAUUUUCUGGGCUGAUCCCAAGGCAAGGACUAACUACACUUACUUUGGAGACACAGUUACCUUUGACACCACUUACAGAUCAAACCGCUAUCGAUUGCCCUUUGCGCCUUUCACAGGAGUUAACCAUCAUGGACAGCCUGUGUUGUUUGGUUGUGCUCUCCUCAUAAAUGAAUCUGAGGCAUCCUUUGUCUGGCUGUUUAAAACAUGGCUCGAGGCAAUGUCUGGGCGGCCUCCAGUCUCAAUCACCACUGAUCAUGAUCGGGUAAUUCGCUUGGCUGUUACUCAGGUUCUUCCUGAGACCCGUCACCGUUUCUGCAAGUGGCACAUCUUUAAAGAAUGCCAAGAAAAGCUAUCCCAUGUGCUUUCUGAACAUCCCAAUUUUGAAGCAGAGCUCCACAAGUGUGUCAACAUGACAGAAUCCAUUGAAGAGUUCGAGUCCUGUUGGUUCUCUCUAAUUGAUAGAUAUGAUCUCAGGGAACAUGAAUGGCUACAAACAAUAUAUGUUGACAGGAGGCAGUGGGUCCCAGUGUACUUGAGGGAUACAUUCUUUGCUGAAAUGUCAAUAACACAACGCAGCGACAGUAUAAACUCUUAUUUUGACGGAUAUGUCAAUGCAUCAACAACCCUACAGCUGUUUGUUAAGCAGUAUGAAAAGGCUCUAGAAAGUCGAUAUGAAAAAGAAGUCAAGGCAGAUUAUGAUACGAUAAACACUGCUUCUGUCCUUAAGACCCCAUCCCCCAUGGAGAAACAGGCAGCUGAGCUUUACACAAGGAAAUUAUUUAUGAAGUUUCAAGAGGAGUUGGUUGAGACAAUGACUUUUUUGGCAACCAAAGUUGAUGAGGAGGUAAUCACAACAUAUCAAGUUGCGAAAUUUGGGGAAAAUCAUAAAGCUUACUUUGUUUCAUUUAACAUUCAUGAGAUGAAAGCAACUUGCAGUUGCCAGAUGUUUGAGUUCUCUGGUCUUCUUUGCCGACACAUACUGACAGUUUUUAGGGUGACAAAUGUUCUCACUCUACCAUCUCAUUAUGUUUUAAAACGUUGGACAAGGAAUGCCAAGAGUGGUGUCAUAUUAGAGGAACGUGCCAGCAAUCUGUUGAAUGGUUCACGAGAAUCACUUACUGUUCGGUACAAUAAUCUUCGUAAUGAGGCCCUUAAAUUUGUUGAUGAUGGAGUUAAAACUGCAGAAAUUUAUAAUGUGGCGGUGGGUGCUCUUCAGGAAGCUGCAAAUAAAGUUGCUCUUGCUAAAAAGAACAGCAGGGAAAGUGCCUUUGUCAAUGCAACUGGCAGAGAAGAUUGUCUGCAUCAAGGAAGUGUAGCAACUAAUACUUGUGGGGGUCAUCAAAGUGGUUUAGAACAACCUCUGUCUGUGGUUAGUUGUUUUCUGUUAUUUUACUUCAGUUAGUUGCUUCUUACUUUCUUUUUAGUUUAAUAUAAAUAAUAAGUUAUUUAUUUUUAUCCCUUGGAACAUUUCUCAAGGCUUAUUUCUGUUCUUCUAGCAAAUAAAUAACUCGGAUUUUGUAUAUAAUAUGAAGUAUGAACUUACUGUACAGGUUUUCUCUACUUAGAAUUAUAGGAUACACUUACGCUUUUUAAUUAUCUAUGCUACACAUAAAAGCACGGACUCCUUAAGGUGAAGUUUGAACGACCAAAAUUCUUGUAACAAGUAAAAGAGGUUGGACAUUUAAUUGGGAAUAUUAAUUCUAUUUAAAUGAGAAAUGGAAUCUCAAAAAAUAAAAAAGAAAUGGAAACAACUUGAAUUUGGGAUUAAUUUCAACGACCAUAUUAUGAUAACCAUUCAAAUAGAAAACAAGUACUUCAUAAUAAUUAUCCUAAAGGGAGACGUUAUAAUUGACUUAUAAUUUUACUGAAAAUAAUAUUUAUGUAAAGAACAAAUUAGCAUUGAAAAGGUUUCACAUAUGCUCUAAUGUUGGUAUUAGUAAAAAUUUUUACCUACUUAUUAAAAAAAAAAUUAGUAAAUUUUUUACCAGUCAUGUAAUAAUAUAAUGAUAUUGUACUGGUGUGUUGAAAUUUGAAAACAUCCAUGAUUUAUCCUUCACUUGUCAAGAUGUCCCAAAUUAUGCAAAUCAGACUUGUUCUAAACUGUUUUUAUAGAAGUUUUAUUUAUGGGUCUGAAUUUCUCUGAGUUCUACAUGAACAACCAUAACCCCCCUUCCAACUGUCAUGCUUUCAGCACUGGGCUACAACGUGUUUAUAAAUCCUUAUAGUGCUCAAAUCUGUACUAUAUUAUAGUGCUUUCUGCUUUGAAUUUUGUGAUAUUUACAGUGCUUUAGUGAUGGUUCAUUAUUUUGUUGUGAAUGGACUAUGAUUGUUUAUAUUCUAUGGUCAUUUCUCUCGCGGACUAUGAUUGUCUCUGGACAUCCGACAAUGCCUGCUCCCGGGGAAUCCUUUCCUCUGUUCUAUCAUGUCUGAAUUUCUCUUUUAUUAUCCACCAUCUCCAUGAUUUGGAUAAUAAUCAACCCCCAAAAGAGUUUAGUAUUCUUCAAAAUCUUGUUUAACAGAUUACCAAAAUCAUUAGGACUCAUAUACUUACAAUCUGUGACCUCCUCGGCUCUGAUAUGCGCUGUAUCAUCUCAUGCCAGCCAUAUCCAUUAUCUUGCUUCUAAUUUUCUCAUCUGCUUUCUUUUCCUUUUAUUUUUUAUUUUUAUUUCAAUUAUUAAAAAAAAGCAAUGGCACUUCUUGGAUAAUUUAUUCUUUAAUUGCAUAAUUCCUUCGUAGUGCAAGCAAUUGUUCAUUUUUAAGGAGCCAGUGGAAUUCAUAUGCCUUUUUGGCAAGUUAGCUUAGUGAUUGGGCUUUAGCAGCUAUAUGGCACUCAUCUAUCCGGCUAGUGUUUCACUUCUUUUCCAAUCAACUUGCAAAUCAAGAAUGAAGAACCCUUUUUUUUUAAUCUCAAAGUAAUUCAGUGUCCUUUAUAGAGAUGGUAUUGUUUGCCCUAACCAUUUUAGAUUGUAUGAAUAUUAAGCAUUAGUAAACUAAUACAUGACAUAUGCUAUUUGUAACAGAACUGGUACCUCUGUCCUCAGAUCUAUAUAUGGCUUGAUAAUUCCUUUGUUUCCAUCAGAUCUAUAUAUGAGAUCGGUUCAGCUUACAACUAGUGUAACUUUUCAAAUGCUACACGCUUUUAAGAUCUUUGAUAUCUAUUAGAUUUAACUAUCACCUUCCACAUAGGUUUAUUUUCUUAAAUUCUCUCAUCAUCAUCUUUUACUACUCAAUCUACUCUCUGAUCUCUCUUCUCCUUCUUAUCAACCUGCUCUGUAUUCUUAGUUUCUCCUUUCUUUAAUGCAAACCCUUCUCCCCUUGUUUCUCUCUUGAAUUCUUCUCUUAUAAAAAAUAUUCAUAAAGUUGGUUUUCUCAUACAUGAUUCCAUGAGGUCUGGUUUUCUCAUAGUCACUGCUUCAUUUUAUUUUUUUCAAUCAAUAUAAUAGAUCCCCAAUAGUUUGGAUUAAGAUUUUAUCCGUUAAAUUUCUGUUGAACCUCAAAUUGAAAUUAUUUGUUUCAACCAAAGAGGAUUUUGGUACUUAAAAGUGGUGCCAAUGAGCUUGGAUGCAACUGUUAUAGAUUGUCAUAUGCUUUGCAAAUUCUUUAUGUCUGCUACGUUGUUUGCUGCAUAUCAAUCACUCUUUAUUCAAUCAUCGUUUUAAAGACCUGACAAGAAGUUAUGCCCUUUGCUAUUAUGCGCCAAGGGUUUAAGAGGGUUUAUAGAGGUUCUGGUACUUCUUUGACGGGUGCAAUCCUGGCAACCCACCAAGCCUUCGUUCAGUUGGACUUGGUCAACCUGAGAAGAGCAGAGGAGAGGCCAAGCUUCUCAGUAUCUAGGUGGGAUUGAGCUGUCCAGGUCUUGAGGACGAGACCUGAAGAUGACAUUGGUGAGAAAGAGCUGUUCUAACCUGUGUGAGAGGAACACCUUUGGAAAAUUCAGUGACGUAAAGCAGUAUUUGUUCCAGUGUUAGAUCUAAUUGGAAUCAAAAAAUUUUUUCUUUUAAGGAGUAAUAGUUGAGAAUUGUGUAGCUUGAACCCAUCUCUAAUUGUCUUGAUUUAUAGGUUCUAAUUUGAAUCCUGUUGGGACACUUGUUAGUCUUUAUAUCAGUAUGCAUACAGAAAAAAUGAGUUGGUCUCAAACAAAGGUACAUAUCAUAUUCAAAACUUGAAUGACCAGGAUUGAAUGAUAAAUCACUUACAUAUCUUUAUCAGGUAUAUAAUGGCAAAUGUCUUUGAGGACUAUGUCGGGAAGUAGAAGUUGUCAAGACAUGUAACUAUCCAGGCUUAGUAUGACUAGAGGGUUAUUGACCCCUUCUGUGAAUGGAUAUUAGGAUUUUGGAUAAAUUAGUAAAUACCUUGGGGUGCAGUUGGGAAUAGAAUAGAUCCUGUAAGUAUAUCUGACAAAAACAUAUGUUGGGAACAUUAUAUGCAAUGGAGAAAACUGUUUGGUACGUUUGACAUGUAUAAGGUUGCUUUCACAUAUGGAUUGAAGAAGUUGCUCAAAUUCAUUCAAAGCCCUUGUAGCUCAGUGCUAAUGGCAUAACAGGAGGAAGAACAAGAUUCAAAUCUUCCCAACUGACAUUCAGUGUGAAAAAUACUGAUUCUAGUGUAACUGAUAUUUAAAUUGAUGUUGUGUUGAAUGAUAAUAAUGCUCAUCAUAUGACUCUUGGUCCCCCCCAACCCUUUUUCCUUUUUUCGUUUGUUUUGAAUGGUGUGAAUGAACAUUGCAUAUGCCUGCAGGAUGAGCAAGACAGGAGAAUCCAAAAGCUAGCGCACCAACUUGAACGCGCGCAAAGAAAAUGUGAAGUGUACCGGGCUAAUUUGCUUUCAGUUUUGAAAGAUAUUGAGGACCAAAAAUUACAGCUUUCAGUUAAAGUUCAAAACAUUAAGUUAGGAAUGAAAGACUGA